GCGGUAAGGCCCUUCGGGGUACACGAGCGGCGAACGGGUGAGUAACACGUGAGCAACCUGCCCCUGACUCCGGGAUAAGCGGUGGAAACGCCGUCUAAUACCGGAUACGACCCGCCACCUCAUGGUGGAGGGUGGAAAGUUUUUCGGUCAGGGAUGGGCUCGCGGCCUAUCAGCUUGUUGGUGGGGUAACGGCCUACCAAGGCGAUUACGGGUAGCCGGCCUGAGAGGGCGACCGGCCACACUGGGACUGAGACACGGCCCAGACUCCUGCGGGAGGCAGCAGUGGGGAAUAUUGCGCAAUGGGCGAAAGCCUGACGCAGCGACGCCGCGUGGGGGAUGACGGCCUUCGGGUUGUAAACCUCUUUUACCACCAACGCAGGCUCCCAGUUCUCUGGGGGUUGACGGUAGGUGGGGAAUAAGGACCGGCUAACUACGUGCCAGCAGCCGCGGUAAUACGUAGGGUCCGAGCGUUGUCCGGAAUUAUUGGGCGUAAAGAGCUCGUAGGCGGCGUGUCGCGUCUGCUGUGAAAGACCGGGGCUUAACUCCGGUUCUGCAGUGGAUACGGGCAUGCUAGAGGUAGGUAGGGGAGACUGGAAUUCCUGGUGUAGCGGUGAAAUGCGCAGAUAUCAGGAGGAACACCGGUGGCGAAGGCGGGUCUCUGGGCCUUACCUGACGCUGAGGAGCGAAAGCAUGGGGAGCGAACAGGAUUAGAUACCCUGGUAGUCCAUGCCGUAAACGUUGGGCGCUAGGUGUGGGGACUUUCCACGGUUUCCGCGCCGUAGCUAACGCAUUAAGCGCCCCGCCUGGGGAGUACGGCCGCAAGGCUAAAACUCAAAGGAAU
rnacentral:rRNA from 1 species